CUAUAAAAAUGUUCAUUAACUUUAACGUAUACAGCAGUAUUAUCAGCAAUCAAAAGAAUAUCUGACAUUUCUUGAAUGUAUACUGUUAGGUAAUUUAGGAUUCCGAGAUGGAUAUAUUAUUAUUAUAACCCACAUUUUAUCUUUGAUAAAACUAAGAAUUUUAAGUAAUCUGACCAAGGCCUCCAGUUGGUAGGUGGGCAAAUCAAGACUGGAACCUAAUCCUAGAGCUCUUAUUGAUGACCUCUAUGUUAUAGUAUUCCCCAAGGAAAAGUGAUCUAUUAACUAAAAAGCUUACUAGAUCUUGAACUAUAUUAAAAGUAUCAAAAUCUUUAUGUCACUGUCUUUUUUGAUCAGAACACAUGUGCAACAUUGCAAUCAAUUCUAGAACCCACACACAGACAGGGACGGAGAGCUCCUUCCUACACCCAUGCCACCUUUGCCUGUCUCUGAGGAUAAGAAGUCUGCUCACCGUCUGUCUCUGGAAUUCUAUCACUUACCCUUCUGUAGCCCAUAUCUACAACAUAACACAUUUUAUUUGUUUUUUCUCCAGCCAGUAAAUUUAUUCAGGUUCCCACCUAAGUAGGUAACCCCACAGAGCCCCAUUUGUAGAAUGUGUGUCUCAUUCGCUGUUUCUGAGGAGUCCUUACUGACCUUCCUCUUCAGAGCAUCCAACCCAGGCUCCUUGCACUCUCUCUUUUCAUCUUCUCAAUUCCCACGAGUCGUAUCCAAAUCCCCAGCAAUUGCCAAAUACAAGUUCCUCCUCAGUGAUAUCUGUCUUUAUAAGAAGUUUGCAGACCAGAUGCUUGUAUCUUAAGGGCUGCUCUCUUAUCUCAUGUGCAUCCAGAAGACGUUCAUAAAUCCAUUAGGAAGUCUGGUUUUCGCCAAUGUGCUCUCCUACAAAUCAACAGAACUUUUAAUUCAUCAUCACACUGUGAACCUGAGCUCGGCGUAAUUUUACUAGCUUGCUACUAGUUUUCUCAUCACAUUAUUCUUAACCCGAGAAGGCUUGCUGCUUUGGAUCUUUGACACUCAGGCAAUACUUUUGGUGGCUGUCGCCGUCUUUGACUUAUCAUGGGAAUAGUGGUGCGUUGAGUGAUAACGGUGGUUAUCACUUUUGGAUUAUCAGAGGCAUAGGCACGAGUGGCAGAAAGGAUCUAAGCAAAGAAAAUCCAUUAUCUGCGUCUGUCCCUGGAUUGUCAUCUGCCUUGGAUUGUCAUGUCCAGUACCAUGUCCCUUGAAAAUGGAACACACUUGAAUCACUUUGGCAAAACAUUUUGGAAGUAGAGAGCUUCACAGAGUAUGGACCUAAGUAUUAAUUACAUGUACAUUAAAUUUACACUUCUAAACUUUACCAUCUCAAAGUCCUAAGUUGUGCUGAUUUUAACUGUUAGAUCACUUCUGUAAGCAGCAGUUGUAGGGAGCAAUAGCCUUCGAGGAUAACCCUAAAAGAGGAAGUGAACUUAAUAUUUUGUGAAGAUGCAGAGAAUAAUUUCUACCUGAUAGUUAUUGGUCUUCUUGCAACUUUUGGCUCUUGGCCAACUGCUGAGCAUGAUUAGAGAAAGAAAUUGCUAAAUAAAGUACGGAUGGAGAGGCAGGGUCCGGCAGCAAUGCGAGGGAGAUGAGUAAUGGCACGUGACUAGACUCUUAGAUGGACAGAAUUCCUCCAACUGUUAGUGACCACUAUCAUAUCAGUGCUUACAUUUUAAAAUAGCACUUUAAAACUUUUAAAAGCACAUUCUCAUGCAUUAUACAUUUGUGUGCUUUACUUGCAAGUGUUUUCAUUCCCAGCUUGAAAUGUAUAAGCCUGAGAUGGAGGCGGAAGCCACUUACACAGUGUCUCCUGUCUCCCAGCUCCAGGAUUUCUCUCCCACGCUGCACACACAUGCUCAUUUAAUCUCAUCUCGGACCCUCCAUUAAUUUCCAUUCCUUGAGUGAACUGAGAGGAGAGAGAGAGAGAGAGAGAGAGAGAGAGAGAGAGAGAGAGAGAGAGAGAGAGAGAAAUGUAACCAUUAGAAUAUGGAACUGGUAAUACCUGGAGAACAAUUCCCAGCAUGUCCAGAUGCUGGAAAGAGCCGUACAUUAAAUAAACAAAACCUGACACCACUGUGUAUUUGUCCAAAGAUAGACUGCAUUCAACAACCAACUUUUAAAAGCUAAUAACAUUUACACAAUGUAGCGGGGAGAAAACAAGCUCUAUAACCUAGUUUUUAAACCUAUACUUACAGCCUAUACUUUAGUGUAUUUUACCAAACAAUAUUAUUUAGAAGGCUUAUGGCUUAGUGCAAAACAGAGUUAAGGGGGAAAGAAUAGCCUGAAAGUGUUCCUCAGGCAAAAGAAAUCGUUUAGGUGACUAUUCUAUUAAGCAUGUUUUCAUAGAGGGAUCAAGUAGCAUGCAAUUAUUUUGCAAUUACCUUUCAGCCCCUUGCUCUGUAAUUAUUCAUUUGGUCAUAUGUGCUUUACAAAUUAGCACCCCCAAAGAUCUAAAAAGAACUACAUAGGAACAUGGUGAUUAUCUUUAGAGUUACAUGGCUUCUCAAAGGGUAAUUGCCAUUUAAUUUGCUAGCUCUGAAUUCAUAUCACGACCGCAUGGUAAUCACACACUUAUAGGGUGCCUUUCAUGGCUGUUGGGUCCUCGAAAUUUUGUGCAGGGCUAAACCGUGGGAAAGCUCUUAGGAAUAGGCGCAAACCCGUCAUGGCGAGUGUUAUGUAUUUUCACAUGCUCUUGACUUGUACAGGGUUUGCAGUAAACACUGUUGAAUGCACGUGUGUGUAUGUGUGUGUGUAUGUGUGUGUGUACGUAGGUACGUAUACACACGCUGCAAGCUCCUCAGCUCUCCCAUAGGUGACUGACUUCACUAGGCUGAAGAAACCUUCACCCAGUCAAUUCAGGACCAUUCCAUUUAAAAAGUAACUCAUAUUGGUUAGAUUUGGUCCAUGGUCAAGUGAAAAGAAACAAAUAUUUCAAUUUUCUUUUAAAAUCAAGAAAAAUGUAAGUAAAAACAUCAUCAUUAAAUACUAGGAGUAAAAGUACAAAGUUUAGAAAAGACAGCACAAAAGAUACUAGAGACUACCUAAGGCCAUUACAGGCCAGAGAACCCUGUGUCUGGUAAAAAUCUACCUUGAACAUGAACUAUCCCUUGGUGUCUAUGGGGGAUGGUUCCAGGACCCCCUUGAAGAUAACAAAAUCUGUGGACAUACAAGUCCCUCACAUAAAAUAAGGUAUUAUUUGUGUACACCCUACACACAUCAUCCUCCAAUGUACUUUAAAUCAGCUCUAGACUAUUUAUAAUAACUAAUAGAAUGUGUCAUAAAUACUAUUAAGCAGUUUUUUAUAUUGUUUGGAAUUAAUGACAAGAAGAAAGGUCUGUGUUUGUUAUGGUUUAGGUGUGAGUUAGCCUCCAAAAGCUCAUAUAUGAGAAAAUGCAAGAAGGUUUAGAGGUGAAAUUAUCUGGUUAUGAGAGUCUUAAUCUACUCAGUGCACCAGUUCACUUGAAUGGUUAAUUGGGUGGUAACUGUAGGUGGGUGCGUUGUGGCUGGAGGGGGUGUGAACUGGGUAUGUGCCUUUGGGGUAUACAUUUUGUCCUUGGUGGGCCAAACUUAGUCUCUCUCUGCUUCCUGAUUGCCAUGUCUUGAGCUGCUUCCCUUCACCACAUCUUUCCGCCAUGAUGGUCUGCCUCAUCUUGGGCCCAGAGCAAUGGAUUCAGCCAUCUAUGAACUGAGACCAAAUAAACUAUUCCUCCUCUAAAUAUUCUUGUCAGGUCGUUUGAUUACAGUGUGUGUGUGUGGGGGGGGAACCUGAAUAAACAGUGUGUAUUUAGUACAGAAAAUUUUUUUCUAAUGUUUUUGAUCUACAGUUGGUUGAAUCUGCAAAUUCGGAACUCACGGAUGUAAGGGCCAGGUGUUAUAAGAUGACAUGGCUUCUGCAAAUGGCAGAAUUAUUGGCUACUUUAGCCCAAACUGUUUGUGCCGAGCUACCUCCUAUUGAUGUGCAAGAGCUAACUGCAAAAUAUCCAGCAAUUUAACAGAUUAUUAAACUGUUGGGAUCCUGAACUCAGUCACAACAGGAGCCUGCAAACCAGGCUUCCCUCUGACUCAGGCAGCCAACUUACUAGCCUGGUACUGAAGUCAAAUAUCCUUAAAAGAGGACCAUAAUAAAGAGACCCAACUUUCUGAUGGACAGGUCUCUCUACUCACAACUCAAAUUUUACACCUUGUCCAAGUGACUCCUAAGUCUAGUUUUUAUUUUUCCUUCCUUCUCUAGGUUUUUUUUUCCAUCCCACUUAGAGACUAUUACAACUAAACACUAAUUUUUAGGAAGCCUAUAUUUGAACAGUAAUGGUUAAGAGAACAAGAUUUGAGUUUGAACCCAAAUUAAACACGCCUAGGUUUGAAUCCACUAGCCUACUUCACCAGAUGUAUGAUUUGACCAAUAUUCACUUCUUCAAUCUUUUGGUUUUAUGUGAAGGGGCAUAGAAAUACCUAACUAAUGGAGCCAUUGUGGAAAUAGUAAUGGUAUCUUCCUUACCGGGUUGUUGUAGGAAUUAAAUGGGUUACUACUAUGAUAAUUGUGGGAGCUGACGGGGAUGUUAAUCGGCUUGACUGUGGCAACCAUUUCACAAUGUAUGUGUAUGUCACAGCAUCACAUUGAACAACUUAAAUAUGCACGCUUUUGUCAGGCAUACCUCAAUCAUUUUGGGGAAAAAAAAAAGAGAGAAAGCCCUUUACGUGGACUUAUUACUGCAUUUAUUAUGGGGGAAUACUAAGAUUAUCAUGUGCACCUGGCACCUUAUAGACACUUGGUAAACAGUGAAUGUAUUCUUUUUGCAGUUCUGUUAUUAUACAGAGUUGGUAUCUGAUUUCCAACGUCUUCUUCUUGCAGGUGCUGGGAGGCUGGUGUCUCUUGGGCCAUGGUCUGGCCACAUAGCGAGCGCCUGUUGUCACAUCUGAUGCUGUGUUGGGGAGUGGACUGUGAGGUCUCAGAAUGAGCCAGCCUGGAUGGGCUGGGCAGGGGAUCUACAACCUGCCCCAGGAUGGAGCAGGAGAGGAGGAGCAGGAGAGCAGGGCGCCCGCGGCCUCUCUCAACCUGUAGAACUUGCCGCCUGUGAUGCUCGGUCGUGGUCUACAUCGGACCACCCAGCUUUGCCUGUGUUCUCCUGCAGGGCCCUGCUUGAAGCCCAGAGACCGAGGUGCUGACCUUGCUUCUCUUUUCUCUUGGUGGAUGGCCAGAUGGAUGGAAGUUAGGGAGUUCUGCACCCCCUCUCAGCUGCUUCUCUGCCCUCUCCCUGUGGGGAUGGCUCUACCUUCAUUGACACUAUAGAGAAGCCAAAGGGCAGGGACACAACCUGUGGGGCCCACGCACUUGCCACCCUGAGGCCAGGGGGAAGGCGGAUCUGGUGUCUCCUAACCCCCAGCAGAGCCCACUUGACCUCCCAACCCCUUGCCCUCUGGGGACCGUGACCUCUGGAACCUCUAGGCAAAGCUUCUCCUCCUGAGGUUCAGUCUCCCUACAGGGGAACUUUAGCUCUGAAUACACAGUGGGUCUGGGCAGGUGGGCAAAUUGACCAGAGUCCACAAGUGUGAACAGGAACGGGCUGUGGGGUGAGAGGCGAAGCUAAGUUCUGCCCAUAGCGACCCCGAAUCCAUGAGGGUGUCUACCAGUGGGCGUGGGGAAUUCUAGGAUCCCCAUGGAGACCAAGAGCCUCUAUGCUCAAGUCUCUUCAGUGAAAUGGUGUGAUACUAGUGUCCAUUCUCCCAUGUCCUUUUAAUCACCCCUAGAUUACUUACAACACCUAAGAAAGCUUUAUGUAAAUAAUUGUAUGGUAUCAUUUAUGGAGUCGAUUUCUAGCUGUCAAUGGGGUAGCCCUGAGUAGAAUUCAGAAUACUUUAGAAUUCUCUCUUGCUGUAAUCCCAGUGGCUCAGGAGGCCAAGACAGGAAGACUGUGGGUUCAAAGCCAGCCUCAGCAAUUUAGUGAGACCCUGUCUCUAAAAAUAUAUAAAAGGGGCUUGGGAUGUGGCUCAGUGGUUGAGGCCCCCACCCCGGGUUCAAUCUCAGGUACCAAAAAAAAAAAAAGACAAGAAAUUUGUCAUCAGCCGGUCCCAGCAUGCCACUGACUGUCAGUAUGAUAGAAGGGAGUCUGAUGUGGGUUAGGAGACAUCUUGGGCCUGCUGCCCCUCUGUCUGCAUGGUGCUACAGCGAGACUCAUCCUUUUCUGGGCUUCAGUCCCCCCCCCCCCCCCCGCAGCUGUAAAAGCUGAAAGAAUCAAUUCCUCCACACUCUGCACCUAAGGAGCCUGGCGAAGAGUCUGUGCCAUGUGAAUUAAUCAGUUUGGAAAGUAGAGUAUGUCUUGGGAUAAUUGUAAUCUGCUGGUCCCCCCAAAAGAUCUCUGUAAGAAACACAUUCAGGGCUGGGACUGUGGCUUAGUGGCAGAGCGCUUGCCUUGCACAUGUGAGGCACUGGGUUGGAUCCUCAGCACCACAUAAGAAAUAAAUAAAUAAAAAUAGAGGUAUUUUAAAAACACAAUUCAGUGUUCAGCUUAAUGAAGUCCAUUAACUCUAAUCUUCUAGCCUCCUUCUGACCCCUCCUCUUGCCUGGGUUCUUCUUGAGCUUGCUUCCUUAUCGAGUGAUCCUUGGGACAGAGAGACUUUGCAAUUUCACCUUGGAAGUGCUUUGAUUGACUAAGGAGAAGGUUCUUAAGCAAGAUAUCUAAUAUAAUUAGCUUCCUUUGUAACUCUACUGACCGUACUGCAUGGGCCUAGAAAACAUUAUCAGAAUGAUCCAUAGACUUCACAAGGUGGCCAGAGAAUAUGUGGCAAACAGUAAGUUAAUUAAAUACAAAUAAAAUAAAUCAGAAUGGAGGGCUCCAGAAGGCUGAACAAAGGGAUUUCCCCCUUAUCUGUGCAGAAGAAGGCAGGUUUCCUGCAGAGGUGUUGUGUUUGGCCCAUGGUUUCAGAGGCUCUGCUCCAGGGCUACUGGGCUCCGACCCUCAGGGGCUCCAUGAGGCCGAGCAUUACAGGCAGAAGCGUGUGAUGGAGCAAAGCUACUCACAUGAUGGCCUAGGAGUAGGGAUGGGGUGGGGUGACCACAAGGUGUCCUUCCAGGGCACGUCCCCCAUAGCCUAACUUCCUCCCACUAGGCCACACCUGAAGUAGUGCCACCACCUCCCAGUGGCACCAUUCCCCCAGGACCAAGUCCCCAACACACGAACUUUGGGAGAUAGUUAAGAUCCAAACCAGAAGAGGCAUUGGAAGCCACAUCCUCUCUGGCCUCUCCUUGCAAAAUGCAAGGGAAAAACAAAAUACGUGCUUUAUUCUUCUGCAUAAAUACAUGAAAUCAGCUGAAAUAUAUCAGCCAUGUAGUUUCAGUUGACUUUCUUUCAUAAAACGUGUUAUCCAUUUCCUACUCCCUUCUUUGUAUUUUAAUUUCUUAAUUUAUGUUUUUAAAGUUAUUUUUUAUCUUUUGGUACUGGUGAUUGAACUCGGGUAUGCUUUACCACUGAGGUAAAUUAAAAAAAAAAAUGAGACACGGUCUUGCUAAGUUGCUAAGGCUGACCUGGAACUUGCAAUCCUCCAGCCUCAGCCUCCCCAACCGCUGGGAUUAAAGACGUGCACCACGGUGUCUGGCUUUCGUCUAGUUUUGACCUUUCUGUUUACUAUCUAGAAAUUUUCUCUUUCAAGUGGAAGUCAUGUCAAUAGAACUAAAUGAGAAGCAAACUGAAAAAUAAAAUUCCUAAGAGAGAAAUGAAAAAAGUCACUGAAAACCUCCUACAGUGAGAAGCCUGGCGGAGUCCAGGAGAGAUCCUGUGCAAGCUCUUCAUGCAACGUGUAGAUGUGACCCUGGCUCAGAAUCAUAAGCACCUGUCCUCGGGUGCUGGUCCACAGAGCCCUUAGCACAUUCCGAGGGCUCUGGAAAUCACAGGGACAUGAGGCAACCUUCAGAGGAUGCCUCCUUAGAGCAAGGUGCUAGGCAAAUACUAGCAUUGUUAUUGUUUUUAGUACAAAUUUAUAAUUGUCUCUCUGUUAAACAUUGCAUCAAGUUAAAUUAAGUCAGCAUGAUUACAGCCAUUAAACAAAUGCCUGGUAAUGACUGACUUCUUAUUUUAGCAAUUCCUCAAACCACUGGGGCAAUACCACAUAAGGCUUCUGCUCCAUUGUCAGAUUAAUGGGGGUGCACCACCAUGUGCCACAACCGAGCAUGCUCUCCACUGUUAGAGCCACCAACGGUGAUUUAAGGCCACAGCUGCACCCCUUUACCUUGGGGUCUUCCCUACUGCUCUUACCAUCCUGUUAGGUACAAUCGACUAGUUCAUUGCAGCUUACCAGUAUCUUAAGGCAACUUCUACCUGUCAAAAAGGAAAAAAAAUAAAAUAAAAAGAAGUGUGCUUUUAAAACCAAAAUCUGGGCAAGAAUUCUCCCAGAAUUAUUCUUGUGACCCUGAAAUGAACCCAAACAGUAGGGACAGUGAUGGUUUUAACCUGGGUUCCUCAUUGGAAGGGUCACCUAAAUAAUGACCUGCCAUCUUCGCACACAGCACAGAAACAGUUAAGUCUGGAAGGCUCUGAGUUAAGGCUCCGGCCACCCAAAGCAGUGCCUGAGGCACCUGCCAGGGUGGGGGACAGGAGGUGACCCCUGUCCUGUAGUCGCUCCUCGCCUUCCAUGUCAUCCGUCUGGUGCCACCUUAGCCACUGGCCUGAUUCUGCAGAGGACACUGAAUGAUGACUCCUUGCGAGUCAGCUGACUGCUCUGUCAUUGCUGCAUGCCAGCCCGGCUCCACAGUCUCCUGGUCGCACUGCCACAGCAGAGGCAUCCAACUGGGCACGAGGCGACCGAGUUUUAAAGCUCCAUUUUCCUGCUACUACUUAGCAGUUUUCACACGAGGAUCAUUUACCUUCCCGUAGCCAGGAGCAGAGAUGCAGUCUGAAUGCGCACGGGGGCUUCUAACUUGGCCGCGUGAAUUUUCAGCUGGGCAGGUACUGCUCGGGGGGACCCCAUAACCAAAGUGCCUGUGACGGGACACGGCAGGCUCUCCACCACGUGUGUGAACAGUGUGGGGGCUUCUGAGUAAAGGCUAGGACAAAGCAAGGGUGCCUGCCACCGUGUGUCUGGCUGGGGCCUGGGCGACUCACUUCAUGGCCGCUGCGGGACUCCCCGGAUCACAUUUGAGGCUGGUCACGGGGCUGGCGCGAUCCUCACUAAUCAGUUAGAACGCGGUUUAAAAGAGAAACCAGACUCACUGACCUAAAUCAAUCCCAGUCCUCUCUGGAUGCGGGACAGCUGUCGACUAGCUGCGAUGCCACCAGCCAUCGAGUGGAGAACACGGUGACUACAGUCUGCAGGUGGAGACUGAGAGAGUGACAGUCUAUUGUUGGUCCUCUGAUGGCUUCUUCUAAUUUUUCCUAAAUAAUCAUGAUCGCUAAGCGUACAGUGAUCUGGAUGAGUCUUCCCGCCAUGCAGUCCCCGGCAACUCUGGCUGGAAAUCAGGGUGCUGGGCAGAUCCUGGUUAGCACUGGCUGUCUCCUGCAGGACACUGUGCAGCUAGGGUGGGACGGCAGGCAACAAAGCAGGAAGCAGCACUCUGUCUUCUCUUGUGAUGUUAGCAGAACAUAACUCUUCUCCGCAAUGAUGCCUCUGUGUGUGUGCGUGCAUGCGUGUGUGUAUGUGUGUGUGUGGCAUAUUUUAAAUCACCUGAUCGAAGAGCCAAACAGAUAUCAUCAUGGAUGUGGUUUUUAAUGAUGGAGGGGGGGCGGAGACAGCCUGUGGAGACAGCAAUUUGAGACAGCAGUGCAUUUAGGUUAUUGCCAAUUUGAAAUACUGGGUUUGUGAAGCCGAGCCCUAAGGGACAAGCUCGGUUAUCGAGAAAGAGAUCUUAGAUAAAGAAAUAAAAAUGACAACCGUGAUGGGGGCCCUGCAAGGGGACCGUCAGGGCAUCAGUGUGUGGAUGGCAAUUUCGCCGGGCUGAGACUGAAUAAUUCAUAGAUUGAAAUUACCCUGCUUUCACCUUUCCAUUUAAACCGGCAUGAUCUGAAUCUCUAAUAAAUUUUCAAGAUAAAGUAAAAUGCCAAUUUGAGUCUGAAGAGCUUUUAAAAGCAGAUGCUGCAUCCCUGAGUCUUUGGACACCUUUCACCGUUAUCCUGUGAGAGAGCUGAGCUUCCGUCCCCAAGCCCCAUUACGGGGGGGAAAAUGACGGUGAUUACGAUAGCAACAAUAGAAUGCCAUCAGAUGAUCUCUAAUUUACCUAAUUUGCUAAGACUGACUGUGGUUUUAACUCCCAUUGUAUGUCACCAUGCCCGGCAUCCGAGGAUCUAUCUCGCGCUGGAACAAAAGUGGGGUGGCGUGUGUCCUAGUUACCUCCGAGAGACCAGCAAAGAGCAGCCUCUUAGGUUACAAUGUCUCUUUCAAAUGGUUUGCAUUUUUGCAUCUUUUUUUUUUCCCUAAUGCCACUAUCCUAUAUUCCUGUUUGGGGAGAAUGGUGAGCCUCUCAUGAGACGGGGUUUAUUCUUUGUUAGGGGACAGCAUUGACUUGUUAAUUUAGACACCUUCUUUGUUUAGUACACGCGAGCAUGUGUUUAUCAGGAGGGAGGAAAGAUUCUGUUCUGAGAGUAGCUGAGUAACGCAGCCAAGAUGAAGGGACACCCCCGUCUGCUUCCAGGUUAGAAAUCCUUCCGGGGAGCUGUCAUCUUGGUGUGGUGUGUUACAAACCGCCCAGACUGAAAAGCAGCCCAGGUGGCACGGCCGGUGAUAACCCCAGCCCUCCCUGGGAUCCUGUGGGCUCGCGCCAGCGACGGAGCGAAGCUCUCGGGCGACUCUGGGUUUGUCUGUGUGUGCUCAGUGUGGAGAGGUCUGUGCUCCUGGGGAAGCAUUUCUCCAACCUGCUGCCCUGUUGGUCUGAGGGCAGUUGUGCCAUCCCGAAAGGGUGGCAUGGAUCACAAAUCCCCCCUGGAGAACAGACUCUCGCCACUUAAUAGGCACGAUGACUUUUGGGAAUUUUCCUUCCAAUAGCAGAAAGAUGGCAUGUGGGUCCCCGCCAAUCAGUGGUGUGUCUGAGUCUUUUGCCUCAGGUAGGGCUCAGAGGUAUGACAACCCCUGGGGAGGAAGGAAGGUCUCAAACACACCUGUCUGGUAUUCGGGGGGGGGGGUUUUGCGUGAGACUCUCAGCUCUGAUAUGUGCCUUAACUCAUCAUCACGGCUUCACCCCUGCUGGGGUCCGGCACCCACAAGCACCUCGUCACAAAGAGAAUGCCCCAUCCUGGAAGCCAGCUGGCCCUCCAUCCGCCGGCCUCUUCUGUGAGACCUCCCACGCUGCCUGGUUUCCAGUGUCCACGCUUGCUCAUCCCAAGGGAACUCCCAUUCAGGUUCUCCAGCCCAGGGUGGAGCCCAAUGAAGGAUGAAGCUCCUUCAGGGGCAAAAGAAGGAAAUCUAGAAGUAUGGAAAAGUGACAGUCUAAGAAGAAAUAUAAACCUCACCCAGAGUCCUGCUGCUCGUCAGCGGGACACUGUCACGGCCCUGUCUCAGCUGUGAGGGUGCGCAGCACAUCCUAGGUGCAGCCUGACAUUGCACACCUGCUUGACUUGAAACCGUGUUUGAAUAAGAGGAACAGCAUUACGCUUAGAAUUGCUAAAACAAAGCACCUUUCAAGCUUCCCAACGAGAUGUAAUGCCUGGAGUUGCACUACCAUCUUGGGGUCAUGAGGGAAAGACCAAAGGAAUCAGCCGACUCACCACCAUAAGUAACCUCUCACCUCCAAACUUAACAAACCGUUGACUCACAGUGCCGUCACCUGCGUCUGCCAGUCCCUGAGACUCAUAGAAGAGCAAGACAAACACUGAGAGGGACAAAGACAACUAUCUCCCGGCCAUCAGCCACGUAGAAAAUGCCACAUGCAGUUUUCCAUCACUCCAGAAUUUUAAACCAACAUCCGUAUGUAAAGAAGGGGGCCCCAGCAGCUGUGCAUGUUCUCUCCACCCAGCGCACCUACCAGGCCGAAAGAGAGACUGUGAUUCUGUUGUAGAGCCGAGGCUGCGGGUCCAAUUUUAUUUGAUCCCCAAACAACCAAGCUGAUUCAUUGCCAGAUCUGGCCUUUCCUUCCAGUGUACCUCAAUCUCUCCUAAUUUGCCGUGAAAUUCCUGGGAGUUGGCUGGUUCGGGCAUGGAGAAGGUGAGACGGCAAAGGACCCCCACCCGCUCUCCAUGGGAAGACCGGCCCCAGAAAGCCCAAGCCAGGAGAAGGCUGCUCUCCACCGCUCCUCCCUGUGCGCCCUCCUGGCUCCCGGAGGCCCAGGCGUAGAAUCUGCUGCUUGCGGACCAUCCCGGCUUCUUCCCUGUAACAGAACCUCAGCUCGGGGCGCUGGGGAUGGAACCUGGAGUCUCGUGGGCGCUAGGCAAGCUCUCCACCAGCAACAUCCCCGCCCCAGAAUCUCUACUGUUACCCAUCGGGCGUCACUGGAGCAGAAUGGAGGAGACAUUCAGAGCCGGAAAACGUAACCUGGAGCCUCUGGUAGCAAUGGCUGGCUCACAACUCCAUUUUCCACUUAAAACCGCAGGCUUGAGACGCCUGGUUCCCUCACACAGAGAACCAAGGAACUGGGGAUGCGCUUCCAGCAGGUGAACAAUCAGACACGGGAGACUCCAGGCUUCCAGACGUCCAGCCAGAGCCGGGCAGCACCUCUGACCUCCUGCAGAGGUGCCAUGGGCCGAGGACAGAGGAAUGGGGAACCGCCCCAACAUAAGUUCCCCAAAGACCGAACAUUCCAGUUGUGCUCCACAGGGUCUGGAAUACAGAGGGCCAUCAGGCUGACCCAGGCAAUCACAACCCAGUGGGAAGCAGAAAAGCAAAACCAUUUGGGAACCUCCAAUGGCUGAUACAGAGGCAAAGGAAUUGGACUGGGAGGCUUUAACCAGCGUCUGCAACCAGACAGGAAGGAACUCGUCUAAACCGAAGGCGGAGCUGAAGGUUAAAAGGUGACUUCGCCUACAGGUUGGGAUUUGCACACACAAUCAUCUGGCGCUGAGUCUCAGCACAGAUCCCGGCGGAGAGGUUGGAGCUCAUCUCACACCAAAGUCUCAGAAUGAAGAAUGCAGUAACCACCAGGCUUAAAACUCAUCGUUAUCUGUUAAGAACCCAAGUCUACAAGAAUCGUGGAGAUCAAGAGGGCCUGCGUGGUGAGGGCGAGAGGAUGCCGGGGAAGACGAGAUCCACAUGCUGAUUAUUUUCUAAUAAAAGUGUUUUCUGUAUCUGAAAGUGGAGGGAAUUAAAUAUAAACAGAUUUGUUUAAACCCAGUACCCCUAUUAUUCUAUAGGUUACCUUAACCCUCUUCUGACAUCAAUUUUUCAACAAGGGUGAUUAUUUUUUCAGGCACAGAAAACAGCUAAACUGAAGUUAUUCAUACCUAUGGGAUUAUUCUAUAGUUAAUUUUACCAUUCAAAACUUGAGAAAAUUAUAUGCUACAGAACAUAGUCAUGGGUUUCACCAGCAGGGCUGUCUUUCCAGCAAAAUCACUGUCUGUCAGGAAGUAUAACACAGCCAAAAAAAAAAUCGAAAUAGAAAAUAGCAAUAAUAAGAAUAAUUUGUUGUGCACCUACUAUGUGACAGGACUUUAUGUAUAGUUUAUCUCUAAUCCUUCUCAACAACCCUGAAAAGUAGUGCUAAUAUUCUUAUGUUACGGAAGUCAUCCCUGGUUCAAUAGAGCCUUGUCCAAGGUUUAAUAAGUGUAGAGGAGGACUGUGGAGCUCAGUGGCAGAGCAAAUGCUUAGCAUGCUUGAGGACCUGGGUUCCAUCUCCAGCAACCCCCGUCCCCAACAAAAGGUAGAACCAAGACUCGAACGUGCAUCUCACUCCUGCCUCUGAGGACUUUGCACUGUUGUGCUCUCUCAAUACCAUAGAUACUAGGUAGCCACCAACAGGAAAUGCAAGGACCCCAGGUUUCAUAGAUCAGAUCCCAAAUCCACAGUGCAGGUUCAUGAAUUCACUUCAAGUGCAUCUGUAUGCAUUCUUCUAAUCAACUUCUAAUCAGCCUCCUUUAACUGCAUUCAAAUUUAAUGGGCAUCCCUACCCAAUAAUGGAAAUAGAACUGGUCUUGUUUGCCUUGUGCUGAUGGAGCACCUGCUGUGGUUCGGCACCAGGGACAGGACAGCAUGCAGGUCUCAGUCUGUCACCAGUGCUGUGGCACGGCGGCUGUGAGCUCUGCAGCAAGUUUUCAAAUGCAUUGAUUUUUAAGCUCAAUACCUCUGCCUCUGCGUCUCAUUAGUUGCUUCAGCCGACCUCUGCUCAACCCACAGGACGCCUAACCAAUCAUGCAGCAAAGCUUUGUGGACUGCAUUUUUGUUUUUUUAUUUGUGUUAUCAGAAGUGAGAAGUCUUGCAUUGGAGGCCAGCUCUGCGUUGUGAUCAUGGGCUUCUUUGAGCAUCAAAGUGGGGAUGGGGACCUCUGUCUCCAGAGCUCUGGCUCAGACCUUCAGCGUGACCCCCAAACAUUCACCGUCUUGUGUCCAGCCCCCACCCCAUGAAAAUUUUCUUUACCAUCUGGACCCCAUCUUUGUUCCCCAGUGCUGGGGAUCGAAGCCGGGGCCUCACACCUGCUAGGCAAGUGCUCCACCACGGAGCCACGGUCUAGCCCUGGACCCUGUGACGGUCAUCUCUGUUUCCUUCACAGUCCUCAGAGCAGUGGUGGCGUAGAGGGGCCCUCAGCGAAUACUGAAGGAGGAAAGAGCCAUGUCAUGAGCACGGGAAAGGGCGUGGGGUGACAGCCCUCCAGGUGGACAAGACUUCAUUCUGUAAUCAUCCCAGCUGUCAAAAAGACAUUCCCAGAAAGCGGUUCCCAGGGAGGGCAAGGACAUUGCUGUAGGACUCAGUGAGGAUGUGAUUCUGAGGGAAGAUGAGUCGUGACCGCCGAGUGCUCUCCUUGUGUGCUGUUCUUCCGAAAAGGCUCUGGGUACACAGAUCCAAGAAAUGGGCUUUCCUGAGCAAAGCCUCAGUCUCGGCUGAGCAACGGUAUUUUCUGGUAGACAAAGGAAAUGCUGUUUUUUUCUUUCCUGGGCUGGUUUCCUGACGUCCACUGCUUGUCCUCUGCCUUUGGGUUCUCGCCGGAGACCACCAACAUUCUUCAGACACAGUGAAGUAAAGCAGGAGAGUUUCAGAGCGCUGGGGGCCCCCCGGGACUGUCCCAGCCUGAUCCCAGGUUUGCUGUGGAUCGUAAGCACGACAGCGUGAAACUCGACAGAUUCUUCUGGAAUUCUCUGUUUGUUUUCCUUGUGAUCUGACUCACAUAAAAUUUAUUUUAUUUCUUCUUCCAAACUCCUAGGGAGUGUGGUCAUAUGAUUCAAGCAGAGGAAAACAUUGUCAAAAUAGGAUCAAGAAGUUAUCACUCGUACAUUGUUUUCAUUAAAUAAAAAGCUUCCAUGUGCA